rnacentral:rRNA from 1 species
UAAGGAAUAUUGCUCAAUGGGAGAAAUCCUGAAGCAGCAACGCCGUGUGGAGGAUGAAGGGUCUAUGACUUGUAAACUCCUGUAAAGAAGGAAAAAAUUCCCAUUAGAUGGGAGAUGAUGGUACUUCUGGAGUAAGCACCGGCUAACUACGUGCCAGCAGCCGCGGUACUACGUAGGGGGCAAGCGUUGUCCGGAUUUACUGGGUGAAAAGGGCGCGCAGGCGGGAUAAAAAGUCAGUGGUGAAAUCCUACAGCUUAACUGUAGAACUGCCUUUGAUACUGGUAUUCUUGAGUUCGGGAGAGGGAGACGGAAUUCCAGGUGGAGUGGUGAAAUACGUAGAUAUCUGGAAGAACACCGGUUGCGAAGGCGGUCUCUUGGUCAGACACUGACGCUGAGGCGCGAAAGCGUGGGGAGCAAACA